CACAUGACUCUCGGCAACGGAUAUCUCGGCUCUCGCAUCGAUGAAGAACGUAGCAAAAUGCGAUACCUGGUGUGAAUUGCAGAAUCCCGCGAACCAUCGAGUUUUUGAACGCAAGUUGCGCCCGAGGCCUUCUGGUCGAGGGCACGUCUGCCUGGGCGUCACG
rnacentral:rRNA from 4 species